rnacentral:rRNA from 1 species
UACGUAGGGUGCAAGCGUUAAUCGGAAUUACUGGGCGUAAAGCGUGCGCAGGCGGUUUGGUAAGACAGAUGUGAAAUCCCCGGGCUUAACCUGGGAACUGCAUUGGUGACUGGCGGGCUAGAGUAUGGCAGAGGGGGGUAGAAUUCCACGUGUAGCAGUGAAAUGCGUAGAGAUGUGGAGGAAUACCGAUGGCGAAGGCAGCCCCCUGGGCCAAUACUGACGCUCAUGCACGAAAGCGUGGGGAGCAAACAGG